rnacentral:rRNA from 1 species
UACGGGGGGAGCAAGCGUUGUUCGGAUUUACUGGGCGUAAAGGGCGCGUAGGCGGUCGUGACAAGUCACUUGUGAAAUCUCCGGGCUUAACUCGGAACGGUCAAGUGAUACUGUCGGACUAGAGUACAGAAGGGGCAACUGGAAUUCUCGGUGUAGCGGUGAAAUGCGUAGAUAUCGAGAGGAACACCUGCGGCGAAGGCGGGUUGCUGGGCUGAUACUGACGCUGAGGCGCGAAAGCCAGGGGAGCGAACGGGAUUAGAACCGUACCGCGAGAC